GCCCGCUACAACAAGAAGCCCACCAUCACGUCCCGGGAGAUCCAGACCUCCGUCCGCCUCGUCCUCCCCGGGGAGCUCGCCAAGCACGCCGUCUCCGAGGGCACCAAGGCCGUCACCAAGUUCACCUCCUCCUAGACUGACGACGCGCCGCUUGUUGUGACAGAUGUGGCCGUCUGCUGUAUCUGUAGUCGCUGUUGACUCUGCUUAUCUCCAUCUGCAAGUAGUGGUAGCUGUAGUGCGCGUGCUGGGUGAUGAUUGCCAACGCUUUGUUGGCUGGUUGGAUGUAAGAACUGAACGUGUUGCUUUUGCAAACUGAUGAAAUCUAUCUAGAAAAUGUCGCAGUUGUGGUACUACAUGAUAUUACUAAUGCUGUCAUUUCUACUCUUAUAAACCGAGCCUUUUCAUUUUAUUUGCACAAGUAGUGCCAUUACUGGUUCGGAAGCGCUGAUUGCUUGCCGAAUCUUGUUUUGCAAACUG
rnacentral:lncRNA from 1 species